GUUCAAUAACCUUACUGGAUCGAGUGGUUAUAGCAUUAACUUCCUUAAGGUUAUUUUCUCUGAAGCUCGAGGUUUGUGUCAUAUGUUGUCCCCUAGGGUUUGGUUGAGCUUGCGCUGGAAAUUUUCCCCGCUCAACUACAGUUAAGGCAUUGGUUAAUUUGGACAUAUGAGUUUUGAUUUCCUUAUUUUCCUCAACAAUUUGGGUAAUCUUAGUCUCAAACUUCUGAUUGGUUUUACUUUGUGCUUCUAUGAAUGCAUGUAGGGUGUCUUCCAAAGAGUUUCUAGAGGAUGUGGUUUGAUAUGGAGGUGUAGUGUAGGCUCUAUUGGAUUGGGCAUGUUGCUGGAUUUCAGAUUUCUAGCUGAGAUUAGGGUGAUUCCGCCACCCUGAAUUAUAGGUUUUGGAGUAGGGAGUAUAGGGUUUUUGAUAUAUGCCUAAGGUAUUACAAUGUUCCUCAUAAAGUCUCCUCAUCUCUGCAUAAGUAGCACAAUCUUGUGCUAGGUGAUCAGUACCACCACAAACAAAACAAAACCCUUCAGACUCAACACAGGAAACAUCAUGUGUAGGUUUUGAAUCCUUAGCACGUAGGGCUUCUAAUUUUCCAGUGAGGCUUUCUACCUUGACUCUAAGAUUGUCCUCCUCCCUAAGGUGAUAAAUGCCUGUGCUAGUAGAGUUUCCCUGAGGUCAUGAUCUAUUGUUACUAUCAGAGGCAUUAGGUCCAGUCCAAGUGUGAG
rnacentral:lncRNA from 1 species